rnacentral:rRNA from 1 species
AGUGAGCGCUGGCGGUAGGCCUAACACAUGCAAGUCGAACGGCAGCACAGUAAGAGCUUGCUCUUACGGGUGGCGAGUGGCGGACGGGUGAGGAAUACAUCGGAAUCUACUUUUUCGUGGGGGAUAACGUAGGGAAACUUACGCUAAUACAGCAUACGACCUACGGUUGAAAGCAGGGGAUCUUCGGACCUUGCGCGAUUGAAUGAGCCGCUGUUGGAUUAGUUGGUUGGCGGGGUAAAGACCAACCAAGUCGACGAUCCGUAGCUGGUCUGAGAGGAUGAUCAGCCACACUGGAACUGAGACACGCUCCAUACGCCUACGGGAGGGAGCAGUGGGGAAUAUUGGACAGUGGGCGCGAGCCUGAUCCAGCCAUACCGCGUGGGAGAAGAAGACCUUCGGUUUGUAAAGCCCUUUUGUUGGGAAAGAAAAGCAGCAGGUUAAUACCCCGCCGUUCUGACGGUAACCAAAGAAUAAGCACCGGCUAACUUCGUG